rnacentral:rRNA from 1 species
UGGCCCGCUUGUCAUCUCUCUCCUCUGCCCGUGUUCUUCCUGGAGACUCCUCCCGAUCCAAAUCCCCGUCGUUUCCGAUCGAUCUACUGUCCCUCGACCAGUCUUGACUCCAUAUAAAUAGUCCCCUUACUCUCCUCUGCCGAUUUUUGGCAAAAUCCCUCUCUCCCGUGCCCGUUUCACCUCGCCCAGAUCUCGCCGGAGUCCGCCACCGCAGGAGCACCUCCGCCACUCGAUUUCAUCGCCACAGAAGGGAAGCACCCACCCGAGUGCUUCGACCUCCGCCCCAACGAACACCGCCGUCGCCGCUCCAGCCGAACCUCACCUACGUUAGCAGAAGGCCCAGUCGUCCCGGAGGACGUUUUGGAGUUCGACGUGUCCCUCCUCGCCUCGUCCUGUUCUCCCCGAGCUCGGGAGGCCUCUCCAGCGACGCCAGCUUCAAAUCCGAGCCGCGCCGCCGCCGUCUCGUUCAAUUCCGGCCGGCAUACUCUGUUCCUCUCCGAUUGCCCGGAGUGUGAAGCGGAUCAGAAUUGAGCGUUAGAGUACUUCAACAACGUUCAAG